rnacentral:rRNA from 1 species
GUACGCUGGCGGCACGCCUAACACAUGCAAGUCGAACGAAGUAGCAAUACUUAGUGGCAGACGGGUGAGUAACAUGUAGGUAUCUACCCUUUGGCCUGGAAUAACACGAGGAAACUUGUGCUAAUACCGGAUAAGUCUUUACGGAGAAAGCUUUAUGCACCAUUGGAUGAGCCUGCACUUGAUUAGUUUGUUGGUAGGGUAAUGGCCUACCAAGACUUUGAUCAAUAGCUGAUUUGAGAGGAUGAUCAGCCACAUUGGGACUGAGACACGGCCCAAACUCCUACGGGAGGCAGCAGUGGGGAAUCUUGCACAAUGGAGGAAACUCUGAUGCAGCGAUGCCGCGUGAGUGAAGAAGGCCUUUGGGUUGUAAAGCUCUUUCGUCGGGGAAGAAAAUGACUGUACCCGAAUAAGAAGGUCCGGCUAA